rnacentral:rRNA from 1 species
UACAGAGGGUGCGAGCGUUAAUCGGAAUUACUGGGCGUAAAGUGUGCGCAGGUGGCCGCGCAUGUCGAGUGUGAAAUCCCCCGGGCUUAACUUGGGAAUUGCGCUCGAAACUACGUGGCUCGAGUGUGGCAGAGGAAGGUGGAAUUCCACGUGUAGCGGUUGAAAUGCGUAGGAGAAUGUGGAGGAACACCGAUGGCGAA